rnacentral:rRNA from 1 species
GGGUUGUGAGGUUAAGCGAAUAAGCGUACACGGUGGAUGCCUAGGCAAUCAGAGGCGAUGAAGGACGUGCUAAUCUGCGAAAAGCGUCGGUAAGGUGAUAUGAACCGUUAUACCCGACGAUAUCCGAAUGGGGAAACCCAGUAUCCAAUGGAUACUAUCAUUAACUGAAUCCAUAGGUUAAUGAGGCGAACCGGGAGAACUGAAACAUCUCAGUACCCCGAGGAAAAGAAAUCAACCGAGAUUCCCCUAGUAGCGGCGAGCGAACGGGGAGCAGCCCAGAGUCUUAAUCAAUAACAGUGUCAGGAGAACGGUCUGGAAAGUCCGGCAGUAAAGGGUGAUAGCCCCGUAUCUGAAGAUGCUGUUAUUGUGAACUCGACGAGUAGGGCGGGACACGUGUUAUCCUGUCUGAAUAUGGGGGGACCAUCCUCCAAGGCUAAAUACUCCUGAUUGACCGAUAGUGAACCAGUACCGUGAGGGAAAGGCGAAAAGAACCCCGGCGAGGGGAGUGAAAAAGAACCUGAAACCGUGUACGUACAAGCAGUAGGAGCCUCUUUAUGGGGUGACUGCGUACCUUUUGUAUAAUGGGUCAGCGACUUAUAUUCUGUAGCAAGGUUAACCGUAUAGGGGAGCCGUAGGGAAACCGAGUCUUAACUGGGCGAAUGAGUUGCAGGGUAUAGACCCGAAACCCGGUGAUCUAUCCAUGGGCAGGUUGAAGGUUGGGUAACACUAACUGGAGGACCGAACCGACUAAUGUUGAAAAAUUAGCGGAUGACUUGUGGAUGGGGGUGAAAGGCCAAUCAAACCGGGAGAUAGCUGGUUCUCCCCGAAAGCUAUUUAGGUAGCGCCUCGUGAACUCAUCUUCGGGGGUAGAGCACUGUUUCGACUAGGGGGUCAUCCCGACUUACCAACUCGAUGCAAACUGCGAAUACCGAAGAAUGUUAUCACGGGAGACACACGGCGGGUGCUAACGUCCGUCGUGAAGAGGGAAACAACCCAGACCGCCAGCUAAGGUCCCAAAGUCAUGGUUAAGUGGGAAACGAAGUGGGAAGGCUCAGACAGCCAGGAUGUUGGCUUAGAAGCAGCCAUCAUUUAAAGAAAGCGUAAUAGCUCACUGGUCGAGUCGGCCCGCGCGGAAGAUGUAACGGGGCUAAACCAUGCACCGAAGCUGCGGCAGCGACACAAAGUGUUGUUGGGUAGGGGAGCGUUCUGUAAGCCUGCGAAGGUGUACUGUGAGGUAUGCUGGAGGUAUCAGAAGUGCGAAUGCUGACAUAAGUAACGAUAAUGCGGGUGAAAAACCCGCACGCCGGAAGACCAAGGGUUCCUGUCCAACGUUAAUCGGGGCAGGGUGAGUCGACCCCUAAGGCGAGGCUGAAAAGCGUAGUCGAUGGGAAACGGGUUAAUAUUCCCGUACUGGUGGUAACUGCGAUGGGGGAACGGAGAAGGCUAGGUUGUCCGGGCGACGGUCGUCCCGGUUCAAGCAGGUAGGCAGAGUGAUUAGGCAAAUCCGGUCACUUAAUGCUGAGAUGUGAUGACGAACCACCAAGGUGGUGAAGCAAUUGAUGCCCCGCUUCCAGGAAAAGCCUCUAAGCUUCAGGUUACCAACAAUCGUACCCCAAACCGACACAGGUGGUCAGGUAGAGAAUACUCAGGCGCUUGAGAGAACUCGGGUGAAGGAACUAGGCAAAAUGGUGCCGUAACUUCGGGAGAAGGCACGCUGGCGGUAGGUAAAGUCCCUCGCGGACGGCGCUGAAGCCAGUCGAAGAUACCAGCUGGCUGCAACUGUUUAUUAAAAACACAGCACUGUGCAAACACGAAAGUGGACGUAUACGGUGUGACGCCUGCCCGGUGCUGGAAGGUUAAUUGAUGGGGUCAGCCGUAAGGCGAAGCUCCUGAUCGAAGCCCCAGUAAACGGCGGCCGUAACUAUAACGGUCCUAAGGUAGCGAAAUUCCUUGUCGGGUAAGUUCCGACCUGCACGAAUGGCGUAAUGAUGGCCAGGCUGUCUCCACCCGAGACUCAGUGAAAUUGAACUCGCUGUGAAGAUGCAGUGUACCCGCGGCAAGACGGAAAGACCCCGUGAACCUUUACUAUAGCUUGACACUGAACAUUGAGCCUUGAUGUGUAGGAUAGGUGGGAGGCUUUGAAGUGUGGACGCCAGUCUGCAUGGAGCCAACCUUGAAAUACCACCCUUUAACGUUUGAUGUUCUAACCUAGGCCCAUAAACUGGGUCGGGGACCGUGUCUGGUGGGUAGUUUGACUGGGGCGGUCUCCUCCUAAAGAGUAACGGAGGAGCACGAAGGUUGGCUAAGCAUGGUCGGACAUCAUGCGGUUAGUGCAAAGGCAUAAGCCAGCUUGACUGCGAGAGUGACGGCUCGAGCAGGUACGAAAGUAGGUCUUAGUGAUCCGGUGGUUCUGAAUGGAAGGGCCAUCGCUCAACGGAUAAAAGGUACUCCGGGGAUAACAGGCUGAUACCGCCCAAGAGUUCAUAUCGACGGCGGUGUUUGGCACCUCGAUGUCGGCUCAUCACAUCCUGGGGCUGAAGUAGGUCCCAAGGGUAUGGCUGUUCGCCAUUUAAAGUGGUACGCGAGCUGGGUUUAGAACGUCGUGAGACAGUUCGGUCCCUAUCUGCCGUGGGCGUUGGAAGAUUGAGAGGGGUUGCUCCUAGUACGAGAGGACCGGAGUGAACGCACCACUGGUGUUCGGGUUGUCAUGCCAAUGGCAUUGCCCGGUAGCUAAGUGCGGAAGAGAUAACCGCUGAAAGCAUCUAAGCGGGAAACUUGCCUCGAGAUGAGUCUUCCCUGUCGCUUUAAGCGACCUAAAGGAACGUUUAAGACUAAGACGUUGAUAGGCUGGGUGUGUAAGCGUAGCGAUACGUUGAGCUAACCAGUACUAAUGAACCGUGAGGCUUAACCUGACAACACCGAAAGUGUUUUG